AGCCUUUUGAAUUUAUGGAAGGUGAUGUCUGCCCGGUGACUUUAGUUAGUUUAACGGCCGCGAAAAUACGUGCUAAGGUAGCAUAAUCAUUUGUUUUUUAAUUGGAGGCUAGUAUGAAGGGAUGAACGAAGUUCAGCUGUCUCCGUUAAUAAAGUAAAAAUUGAUUUGUAAAUGAAAAAUUUUACAUUUUGGCAUAGGACGAAAAGACCCUAUAGAGUUUUAGUAUAGUUUUUGGUUAGUGUAAUCAAUGGUUGAUAAAAGAAUGGCUAAUUUAGGAUGUACUUUUAUUGGGGCAAUAUAAGAAUUUUGAAGAUUCUUUUUGUAAGUUUUUGUUAUAGUAAUGGUGUAUGGAUCCUUGAAAAGAAUUAAGAAAAAGCUACCUUAGGGAUAACAGCGUAAUCUUCCCAGAGAGAUCUAAUCGAAGGGAAGGUUUGCGACCUCGAUGUUGGACUAAGGUAACUUUAAGGUGUAGAAGCUUUAAUAGGUGGCCUGUUCGGCCUUUAAUUUCUUACAUG
rnacentral:rRNA from 1 species